GACGAACGCUGGCGGCGUGCUUAACACAUGCAAGUCGAACGGAAAGGCCCUGCUUUGGGGGUGUGCUCGAGUGGCGAACGUGUGUGUAACACGAGUGUAACGUGCCUUUGAUUGGGGUAUAACUUGAGGAAACGGGGUCUAAUACCGUAUAGGAGCCCGUGGUGCAGGGGGGGGUGGGGAAAUUUGCGGCGGUUGGGGAUGGACGCGCGCCUUAUAAGUUUGUUGGUGGGGUAGUGGCUUACCAAGGAUUUGAGGGGUAGCCGGCCGGAGAGGGUGACGGGCACAAUUGGGAUUGAGAUCCGGCCAGACCCCCUCCGGGAGGAAGAAGUGGGGAAUAUUCCACAAUGGGCGGAGCCCUGAUCAAGCACCGCCGCGUGGGGGAUGCGGGCCUCGGGGUUGUAACCCGCUUCGCCCAGUGCGGAAGUGUGAGUGACGGUAAUGGGUAAAGAAGCACCGGCUAACUACGUG
rnacentral:rRNA from 1 species